AACGAACGCUGGCGGCAGGCUUAACACAUGCAAGUCGAACGGGCGUAGCAAUACGUCAGUGGCAGACGGGUGAGUAACACGUGGGAACCUUCCUAGGGGUACGGAACAACUCAGGGAAACUUGAGCUAAUACCGUAUACGUCCGUAAGGAGAAAGAUUCAUCGCCCCUAGACGGGCCCGCGUCGGAUUAGGUAGUUGGUGGGGUAACGGCCUACCAAGCCUACGAUCCGUAGCUGAUCUGAGAGGAUGAUCAGCCACACUGGGACUGAGACACGGCCCAGACUCCUACGGGAGGCAGCAGUGGGGAACCUUGGACAAUGGGCGCAAGCCUGAUCCAGCCAUGCCGCGUGAGUGAAGAAGGCCUUAGGGUUGUAAAGCUCUUUUACCAGGGACGAUAAUGACGGUACCUGGAGAAUAAGCCCCGGCAAACUUCGUGCCAGCCGCCGCAGUAAG
rnacentral:rRNA from 1 species